GACAGAGGAGCCAAGCGUUGUCCGGAGUAACUGGGCGUAAAGCGCACGCAGGUGGUUCUGUGCGUGGGGUGUGAAAGCUCUCGGCUUAACUGAGAGAGGCCACCUCAUACGGCAGAGCUCGAGCCCGUGAGAGGUCCACGGAAUUCCUGGUGUAGCGGUGAAAUGCGUAGAUAUCAGGAGGAACACCUGUGGUGUAGACAGCUUACUGGACCACUUCUGACGCUGAGACACGAAAGCGUGGGUAGCAAACAGG
rnacentral:rRNA from 1 species